rnacentral:ncRNA from 1 species
CCGUCGUCCCAAUGGUAAUACCGCUUAGUACGAGAGGAACCGCGGUUUCAGAUAAUUGGUUUUUGCGGCUGUCCGACCGGGCAGUGCCGCGAAGCUACCAUCUGCUGGAUUAUGGCUGAACGCCUCUAAGUCAGAAUCCAUGCCAGAAAGGGACGAUUCUCUCCAGCACGUCGUACGAGGAUACGAAUAGGCUUCGGCCCCGGACCUUAGCAGGGCGCAACUCCCUCCCCGUGGAAGUCGGGGUGGGUAAGUGCCGGAUAGCAAUUUGACAGCGCGCUGGGAUGAAACCUUUGCAGACGACUUAGACGUGCGAACGGGUCGUGUAAGCAGUCGAGUAGCCUUGUUGUUACGAGCUGCUGAGCGUAAGCCCGAUUCGCCCAGUUUUGU